rnacentral:lncRNA from 1 species
GCUGUUUGUAGAAAGAGUUCUUAGUGUAGGAAGGUAUUUUGGGGGGAGCUGCUAAUGGGGAGAGGGAGAUUUGAAGGGGCUGAUACCCAGAAAGUCUGGGACUCUCCCAGGGGAAAGCACAAAGGAAGAUCUUAAAAAAGAGUUGUUUUUAUAUUCCUCUCAUAGAAAGGGGUAAGUCUAUCUUCCUCUAAAAGCAAAGAAUUUUGUAGUUUGUUUUAUUUAUUUAUUUUUGUGGUGCUUAGGGGAUUGAACCCAGGGCCUUGUGCAUGUGAGGCAAGCACUCAACCAACUGAGCUAUAUCCCUAGCCCUAUAGUUUUAUUUUAGUUGAAAAGUAUAGAAGAUGGAAAAUGGGACUCAGUUUACAUUGAAGAUGUAGUGAUACUAAUUUGAUAUUGAGGUGAUUAGUAUUUUUAGAAAACAUAAACAUUUAGCAACAAGUGGCUACUUUCCCUUUUUUUUGGAAGACAUAUUCUUGGGUUUCACUGAAGAUUAUGUGAAGGUCUUAAAAGAAAACCUUAUCAGCCAGGCAUUGUGGUGCACACCUGUAUUCCCAGUGACACAGGAGGAUCACAAAUUUCAAGUCAUCCUCAAGAACCCUCAGCAACUUAGUAAGACCUUGUCUCAAAAAUGAAAAGAGCUAGGAAUGUAGCUCAGUGGUAAAGUGCCCCUGGGUUCCAGUCCUUGUAACCCCUCCCCUGCAUUCCAAAAAAAAAAGAAAGAAAGAAAGAAAAACCUUAUUGAAUAAAUACUAGAAUGCUAUGUUAUUAGUAAAUUAUUUAUGCAUGAUAGCAGUUUGUCUAUAUGAUAAUUUUUAUACAUGGUCAACCCUUGCUGUCUGUGGGUUCCUUACCCAUGGAUUCAACCAACCAUGGAUAGGAUACACCUGGAAAAAAAAAUCACAUCUCUACUGAACAUUGUCUGUAUUUCCUAAACAAUGUAGUAGAACAGCUGUUUACAUCACAUUAGGUAUUAUAAGUAAUCUAGAGAUGAUUUAAGUACAUAGGAGGAUGUAUAGAGAGAAUUGAAUAUGCAGAUAUUAGGCCUGGGUAUGUGUUUGGUACUGGGUUUGAACCCAUGGGUGCUCUACCACUGAACUAUGUCCAAAGCCCCUCUUUUCUUGUGAGAUACAGGGUCUUGCUAAGUUGCUGAGGGUCUUACUAAGUUGCCCAAGAUCAAACUUGGGAUCUUUCUGUAUCAGCAACUGGGAUUAUAGGUGUGCACCACUGUUCCUGAUUUUAGGCUGUGC